rnacentral:sRNA from 1 species
UCUCUGCCGUGAAGCAGUAAUGCGUUUC